UACGGGGGGGGCAAGCGUUGUUCGGAAUUACUGGGCGUAAAGGGCUCGUAGGCGGCCAACUAAGUCAGACGUGAAAUCCCUCGGCUUAACCGGGGAACUGCGUCUGAUACUGGGUGGCUAGAGUUCGGGAGAGGAGAGUGGAAUUCCCAGUGUAGAGGUGAAAUUCGUAGAUAUUGGGAAGAACACCGGUGGCGAAGGCGGCUCUCUGGACCGAGACUGACGCUGAGGCGCGAAAGCGUGGGGAGCAAACAGG
rnacentral:rRNA from 1 species